UACGUAGGGUGCAAGCGUUGUCCGGAAUUAUUGGGCGUAAAGGGCUCGUAGGCGGUUUGUCACGUCGGGAGUGAAAACUCGGGGCUUAACCCCGAGCCUGCUUCCGAUACGGGCAGACUAGAGGUAUGCAGGGGAGAACGGAAUUCCUGGUGUAGCGGUGAAAUGCGCAGAUAUCAGGAGGAACACCGGUGGCGAAGGCGGUUCUCUGGGCAUUACCUGACGUGAGGAGCGAAAGUGUGGGGGAGCGAACAGG
rnacentral:rRNA from 1 species